rnacentral:piRNA from 1 species
UCCUCAUUAUCUUAUUGUUCCGGUUGAAC